rnacentral:rRNA from 1 species
AGAGCGAACGCUGGCGGCAGGCUUAACACAUGCAAGUCGAGCGGGCGUAGCAAUACGUCAGCGGCAGACGGGUGAGUAACGCGUGGGAACAUACCUUUUGGUUCGGAACAACACAGGGAAACUUGUGCUAAUACCGGAUAAGCCCUUACGGGGAAAGAUUUAUCGCCGAAAGAUUGGCCCGCGUCUGAUUAGCUAGUUGGUGAGGUAACGGCUCACCAAGGCGACGAUCAGUAGCUGGUCUGAGAGGAUGAUCAGCCACAUUGGGACUGAGACACGGCCCAAACUCCUACGGGAGGCAGCAGUGGGAAUAUUGGACAAUGGGCGCAAGCCUGAUCCAGCCGUGCCGCGUGAGUGAUGAAGGCCCUAGGGUUGUAAAGCUCUUUGUGCGGGAAGAUAAUGACGGUACCGCAAGAAUAAGCCCGGCUAACUUCGCGCCAGCAGCCGC